UAGGGAAUAUUGCAUAAUGGGCGAAAGCCUGAUGCAGCAACGCCGCGUGUGCGAUGAAGGCCUUCGGGUCGUAAAGCACUUUUAGAGAGGAUGAGGAAGGACAGUACUCUCUGAAUAAGCCUCGGCUAACUACGUGCCAGCAGCCGCGGUAAAACGUAGGAGGCGAGCGUUAUCCGGAUUUACUGGGCGUAAAGCGCGUGCAGGCGGUAAGGAAAGUUGGAUGUGAAAGCUCCCGGCUUAACUGGGAGAGGUCGUUCAAAACUACCUAACUAGAGUAUGGGAGAGGGAAGUGGAAUUCCGGGUGUAGUGGUGAAAUGCGUAGAUAUCCGGAGGAACACCAGUGGCGAAAGCGGCUUCCUGGUCCAAGACUGACGCUCAGACGCGAAAGCUAGGGUAGCAAACG
rnacentral:rRNA from 1 species